UACGGGGGGGGCAAGCGUUGUUCGGAAUUACUGGGCGUAAAGGGCUCGUAGGUGGCCAACUAAGUCAGACGUGAAAUCCCUCGGCUUAACCGGGGAACUGCGUCUGAUACUGGAUGGCUAGAGUUUGGGAGAGGGAUGCGGAAUUCCAGGUGUAGCGGUGAAAUGCGUAGAUAUCUGGAGGAACACCGGUGGCGAAGGCGGCAUCCUGGACCAACACUGACGCUGAGGAGCGAAAGCCAGGGGAGCAAACGGG
rnacentral:rRNA from 1 species